GCUGGCUUUAAGCCACAAUCCUCAGAUUCCAGCCUCCUUGUGCUUUGGUAAGAGACUGAUGUGAAAAUACUUUGAAACAAGAAGAAAGGUCUUCCCAACUUGAGUGUCAUGGUGGAGCCUGGAGGUCAUCUCUAGUUCCUUGCCAUGCAGGACUGCCAUUAACUUCACCAAACCAGGAAGGAGAAAGUAAAAAGUUAUAAGAGGCCCAACCACUUUGAUUUUCUGAAGCUACUACUAUGCUAAAGAACUUGGAGAAAUAAGUAAUAAAGACUCCUUUUAUUUGCUUUCAUGAAGCAAGCUGCCAUGUUGUAAGAUGUGUGUGCCAUGUUGUAAGAUGACUGUGUCAGUGAACUAAGGAAGACCUCUGGCCAAUAGCUUGUGAGAACCUGAGACUUCUGGCCAGCAACCCACAAGGAACAGAAUACACAAUAGCUGUGUGAAUCAUGUGCAGAUUCUUCACCCUCAAGCCUGACAAGAAUAUAGCCUGUGAGAGAUCCAAGGCCUGAUGACCCAAAAAGCUAUGUCCAUAAUUUCUGUGCUCCACAGAAAUCAUGCAAUAAUAAAUGUGAAGUUUGGAAUUAUUUGCCAAACAACAAUACAUAACAACGUACUACUAAAAAUAAAGAGGAAAUUGUAAAAAUAUCCAGAAAAAAUUAAUACAUUACAUAUCAGGGUAAAAGUCAUUUAACAUCUUUGGCCUUUUUGUCAGAAAAGGGGAGCCACGAAGGAAAUAAACAAUAUUUUCAAGUGCCUAAAAGAAUAAAACUGUCAAUUCCACAUUUUGAAUCCAGCCAUAAUAUCCUAUGAGAAUAAAAUAAAACUAAGGAAGUUUCCAAAACAAUUUAUUAUCAUCAGUUGUUCACUACAAGAGAUGUUAAAGGGAAUGCAUCAGAUUGAACAGAAGAGACACCAAAUAGUCAGAUCUUCAGACCUUACUCAAUCAUAUGCCAUAAAACUGCCCUUUUCCCAGGUUCCCCAGAAACCUUAUCUGGACUCUCCUAUCUGAUGUUGAAACUCUUAAGAACCUCAAUCCUGAUAAAAAAAAAUCCUUUGAUAAAUGCAAGAAGAGACCAAAGCUAGUUCAAAAUAAUGUCAUAAAAGUCAUGCACUUUCUAUCUAGACACAGGAUAUUUAAAGUAAUAUUACACUUAAUACUUAUCUGGUUUUCCUUGGCAACAAUGUGAAGAGUGGCUGAACACAGAAGAGAGAGAGAAAAAAAAGGAAUGUCUCUAAUAGUUUCCAUGGCAAGGAGAAAGAAGAAAGAAGCCAUUAAGAAAGAAGCCAUUAUCACCAUCUAAAACAGAAGAGCAGCAUGUAAUGAAGAGGCACCUAGCUCUACAAACCAUACAAUUUCAGAGGUAGUAGCGAGGAUGAACUCCACACAGUUGUGAACCAAGAUAGUACAGUAUCCUGGUAGGAUUCAGGAAGAAGAGAGGUUAAGUUCUACCUGCCUUGUCUCUUUGAAGUGGGUUAUUCCUGCCCCUAUUUAAGACUAGGACCAUCAUGAAUCUGUUUCCCACCACAUGCUCAGUGCCUGGAAGAAGAUACAUCCAAUCAAUAAACCAUAGACAAUCAUGUGGAUGCCAAAUCACAAAAGGCAUUUACAAUAAUAAAUUCUA